rnacentral:rRNA from 1 species
GGUUACUGCUAUCGAGGUUCGACUAAGCCAUGCGAGUCGAAUGUAGCAAUACAUGGCGUACUGCUCAGUAACACGUGGACAACCUACCCUUAGGCCUGGGAUAACCCCGGGAAACUGGGAAUAAUACCGGAUAUCUCGCGAAUGCUGGAAUGCGUCGCGAUAGAAAGCUCCGGCGCCUAAGGAUGGGUCUGCGGCCUAUCAGGUAGUAGUGGGUGUAAUGUACCUACUAGCCUACGACGGGUACGGGUUGUGAGAGCAAGAGCCCGGAGAUGGAUUCUGAGACACGAAUCCAGGCCCUACGGGGUGCAGCAGGCGCGAAAACUUUACAAUGCUGGAAACAGCGAUAAGGGGACCUCGAGUGCCAGGAUACAAUCCUGGCUGUCGUAAUGCCUAAAAAGCAUUGCAUACAAGGGCCGGGCAAGACCGGUGCCAGCCGCCGCGGUAACACCGGCGGCUCGAGUGGUAACCGCUAUUAUUGGGUCUAAAGGGUCUGUAGCCGGCUGACUAAGUCUUUUAGGAAAUCUGGCAGCUUAACUGUCAGGCUUUCAGGAGAUACUGAUCGGCUCGAGACCGGGAGAGGUGAGAGGUACCUCAGGGGUAGGGGUGAAAUCUUGUAAUCCUUGAGGGACCACCAGUGGCGAAGGCGUCUCACCAGAACGGAUCUGACGGCAAGGGACGAAAGCUAGGGGCACGAACCGGAUUAGAUACCCGGGUAGUCCUAGCCGUAAACGAUACUCGCUAGGUGUCGGCCACGGUGCGACCGUGGUCGGUGCCGUAGGGAAGCCGUGAAGCGAGCCACCUGGGAAGUACGGCCGCAAGGCUGAAACUUAA